UAGGGAAUAUUGCUCAAUGGGCGAAAGCCUGAAGCAGCAACGCCGCGUGGAGGAUGACACUUUUCGGAGCGUAAACUCCUUUUGUUGGGGAAGAAAUUUGACGGUACCCAACGAAUAAGCAUCGGCUAACUCCGUGCCAGCAGCCGCGGUAAUACGGGGGAUGCGAGCGUUAUCCGGAUUCAUUGGGUUUAAAGGGUGCGUAGGCGGCUUUGCAAGUCAGCGGUGAAAGGCCCGGGCUCAACCCGGAAAGUGCCGUUGAUACUGUGAGGCUGGAAUGCGGAUGCUGUGGGAGGAAUGAGUGGUGUAGCGGUGAAAUGCAUAGAUAUCACUCAGAACACCGAUUGCGAAGGCAUCUCACAAAUCCGCAAUUGACGCUGAGGCACGAAAGCGUGGGGAUCGAACAGGAUUAGAUACCCUGGUAGU
rnacentral:rRNA from 1 species